rnacentral:rRNA from 1 species
GACGAACGCUGGCGGCGUGCUUAACACAUGCAAGUCGAACGAAGUGGCGAACGGGUGAGUAACGCGUAAUCAAACUGCCCUUCAGAGGGGGAAAACAGUUGGAAACGACUGCUAAUACCGCAUACUUACGGAGGGGAUGGCGUCUGAUUAGCUAGUUGGAGGGGUAACGGCCCACCAAGGCGAUGAACAGUAGCCGGCCUUAGAGGAUGACCGGCCACAUUGGGACUGAGACACGGCCCAGACUCCUACGGGAGGCAGCAGUGGGGAAUCUUCCUCAAUGGACGAAAGUCUGACGGAGCAACGCCGCGUGAGUGAUGACGGCCUUCGGGUUGUAAAGCUCUGUUAAUCGGGACGCGGUACCGGAAUAGAAAGCCACGGCUAACUACGUGCCAGCCGCCGCGGUAAUAC